CCAAAGUGCUGGGAUUACAGGUGUAAGCCACUGUGCUUGCCCUCAUUCUUCUUUUCUUAAGAGAAGCACUUCAACAAGAAUUCUUCUCAGGCUCUGCUUUUGGGGAAAACAACCUAAGAUACAGCAAUGGACAGAUAAUGUCUUCUGUUCUUCUACUCAACUUCCUGUAGACCUAUGCAGAAAUUUUCUUUGUGGUGUGGAUGAAUCAUAGAGCAUGUACAUAGGUUCAUGAUGCUCUCUCUGGCCACCUUCGAGACAGGAAGAAAUUGCAGAGGAUCACUGUGAGAGGACUUUGAGGAUCAAAUCCUGAAGUGGAGCUAGGGGACAGCUCUUGUCUGAUUUCAACUGAUUGAGACCACCGACCCUUCAACUGGGCCUGCACAAAUGCCUAAAAUGUUAUCUUUUGGCAUCAGAGGGCCAAAACUCCUUCCUCAGAUCAUGCUACUGAACAUGCGUCCUAUGAAGAGUCAUGAUCCUCAGUUACACUUGCAAAGACCAUCAAUUACGUCAUCUUUCCCCACUACCAAUCACCUUUCCCCAUGUCUGGACCAUCUUAAUCCUCUAUCCCACAAAUAUCCUUAAAACCCCAUCUUCAGGGAGAUGUGCUAGAGACAUGUUCUCCCAUUUCCUCACUUGGCUGCCUCAUGAAUAAACUCCCUUUUGUAAAACUCA